rnacentral:rRNA from 1 species
UCUGAACGCUGGCGGCGUGGCUAAGACAUGCAAGUCGUACGGGCGUAGCAAUACGUCAGUGGCGGACGGGUGAGUAAUAUAUAGCUAACGUACCCUGGAAUCUGGGAUAGCCAUCCGAAAGGAUGGGUAAUACCAGAUGAAAUAACUGCGUCGCAUGGCGCGGUUCUCAAAGGGCAACUGUUCUGGGAGCGGGCUAUAUCGUAUCAGCUUGUUGGUAAGGUAACGGCUUACCAAGGCAAUGACGCGUAGCCGGACUGAGAGGUCGGCCGGGCCACAUCGGAACUGAGACACUGUCCGGACUCCUACGGGG